rnacentral:rRNA from 1 species
GAUGAACGCUGGCGGCGUGCCUAAUACAUGCAAGUCGAGCGAACGGACGAGAAGCUUGCUUCUCUGAUGUUAGCGGCGGACGGGCGAGUAACACGUGGAUAACCUACCUAUAAGACUGGGAUAACUUCGGGAAACCGGAGCUAAUACCGGAUAAUAUUUUGAACCGCAUGGUUCAAAAGUGAAAGACGGUCUCGCUGUCACUUAUAGAUGGAUCCGCGCUGCAUUAGCUAGUUGGUAAGGUAACGGCUUACCAAGGCAACGAUGCAUAGCCGACCUGAGAGGGUGAUCGGCCACACUGGAACUGAGACACGGUCCAGACUCCUACGGGAGGCAGCAGUAGGGAAUCUUCCGCAAUGGGCGAAAGCCUGACGGAGCAACGCCGCGUGAGUGAUGAAGGUCUUCGGAUCGUAAAACUCUGUUAUUAGGGAAGAACAUAUGUGUAAGUAACUGUGCACAUCUUGACGGUACCUAAUCAGAAAGCCACGGCUAACUACGU